rnacentral:rRNA from 1 species
AUUGAACGCUGGCGGCAGGCUUAACACACGCAAGUCGAGCGGGGUGAUGGUGCUUGCACUAUCACUUAGCGGCGGACGGGUGAGUAAUGCUUAGGAAUCUGCCUAUUAGUGGGGGACAACAUCUCGAAAGGGAUGCUAAUACCGCAUACGUCGUACGGGAGAAAGCAGGGGAUCACUUGUGACCUUGCGCUAAUAGAUGAGCAUAAGUCGGAGUAGCUAGUUGGUGGGGUAAAGGCCUACCAAGGCGACGAUCUGUAGCGGGUCUGAGAGGAUGAUCCGCCACACUGGGACUGAGACAAGGCCCAGACUCCUACGGGAGGCAGCAGUGGGGAAUAUUGGACAAUGGGGGGAACCCUGAUCCAGCCAUGCCGCGUGUGUGAAGAAGGCCUUAUGGUCGUAAAGCACUUUAAGCGAGGAGGAGGCUCUUUUGGUUAUUACCCAAGAUGAGUGGACGUUACUCGCAGAAUAAGCACCGGCUAACUCUGUGCCAGCCGCCGCCGUAA